rnacentral:lncRNA from 1 species
CUGGUUGUCUAGCUUAACUGGUUUCACUUUCAGAGUGGUUGUUUACAGGUAUUGUACUAGGUUCAGAGUGGCAAGAUUGUACAGCUGUCUGAACUUUCGGCCAACCAUGGCUUAUGCUCACCAUUUUACUACUCAUGUAUUUCAGGAUCGUCAUCUUGGAGCAUUUCAUCUUGUGGCCCUCGGAGACCUGUUGAAGAAGAAUGGGAAAACGCAACCCCAACAACGUCAAGAAGAGCAUCUGGCAGCUCCUCUGCGGCUGUGGGUCGCCUGAGACCCGCAACUAAUCAAGAUCGGAA